AUUGAACGCUGGCGGCAGGCCUAACACAUGCAAGUCGAGCGAGGGGCGGACGGGUGAGUAAAGUAUGGGGAUCUGCCCGAUAGAGGGGGAUAACUAUUGGAAACGGUAGCUAAUACCGCAUACUAUCGGAUGAACCCAUAUGGGAUUAGCUAGUAGGUGGAGUAAAGGCCCACCGAGGCGACGAUCGCGAGCUGGUCUGAGAGGAUGAUAAGCAACACUGGGACUGAGACACGGCCCAAACUCCUACGUGAGGCAGCAGUGGGAAAUAUUGCACAAUGGGCGCAAGCCUGAUGCAGCCAUGCCGCGUGUAUGGAGAAGGCCUUAGGGUUGUAAAGUACUUUCAGCGAGGAGGCGUUACCCGCAGAAGAAGCACCGGCUAACUCCGUGCCAGCAGCCGCGGUAAUAC
rnacentral:rRNA from 1 species